rnacentral:lncRNA from 1 species
GUCCGAUUUCUAAUUUGAUCGCAUUUUUGAAAGUGUUUACCAUACAGCAGUCAAUGUAGGUUAGGUGGUGGGUUGGGUGCCCGCUAACAUGUUUAAUCCCGCCAUAUUCUGUAUGUGCCUGUCCAAAGCCAGGAGCGUGUAACUCAGUAGUUAUAUAUAUUUUUUUGUUCACUAUCUUUUGCAUAAAUUGGGCCGUUAGUUUUCUCGUAUGAAUUGUACUACAUUUCUCAUUUCGGUGUGUUUUAUAGCGGUGUGGGCUGUGUUCAUUGUUAAACUGGCCGUACGGUGACCUAUAGUUGUUUAUUUUUGUUUCGUUUUGUCUCUUGAGAAGACCACAUCAUCUUUUUGAUACAGAAAGCAAUCAAAAACAAUCAAUGGAUUAUAGGUUAAGCCUUUUGGCCUGAAUCUAAGAGGCGGGUCCUAGGGGAUCAUAGA